rnacentral:rRNA from 1 species
GACGUAGGGGCGCGAGCGUUGUCCGGAUUUAUUGGGCGUAAAGAGCUCGUAGGCGGUUUGUCGCGUCGUUCGUGAAAACUCACAGCUUAACUGUGAGCUUGCGGUCGAUACGGGCAGGCUAGAGUUCGGUAGGGGAGACUGGAAUUCCUGGUGUAGCGGUGAAAUGCGCAGAUAUCAGGAGGAACACCGGUGGCGAAGGCGGAUCUCUGGGCCAUUACUGACGCUGAGGAGCGAAAGCGUGGGGAGCGAACAGG